rnacentral:rRNA from 1 species
CCUACGAGAGGCAGCAGUGAGGAAUAUUGGUCAAUGGGCGCAAGCCUGAACCAGCCAAGUCGCGUGAGGGAAGACGGCCCUACGGGUUGUAAACCUCUUUUGCCGGGGAGCAAGCCUGAGCACGUGUGCCCAGGCGGAGAGUACCCGGAGAAAAAGCAUCGGCUAACUCCGUGCCAGCAGCCGCGGUAAUACGGAGGAUGCGAGCGUUAUCCGGAUUUAUUGGGUUUAAAGGGUGCGGAGGCGGGCUGUUAAGCCGGCGGGAAAAUUUCGGGGCUCAACCCUGUCGAGCCGUCGAAACUGGCAGCCUUGAGUGAGCGAGAAGUAUGCGGAAUGCGUGGUGUAGCGGUGAAAUGCAUAGAUAUCACGCAGAACGCCGAUUGCGAAGGCAGCAUACCGGCGCCCGACUGACGCUGAGGCACGAAAGCGUGGGGAUCGAACAGGAUUAGAUACCCGAGUAGUC